AAUAAUGGUGUUAACGAGUUUGGAAACCUGAUCCGAAAGGGUUGGACAAACUGUUUCAUCACCAUUGUGAUUAAGAUCGAGGCUUGUAAUUAUUCCUCGUGAAA
rfam:Schistosoma curassoni strain Dakar, Senegal genome assembly, scaffold: SCTD_scaffold0001788